rnacentral:rRNA from 1 species
CCUACGGGAGGCAGCAGUGGGGAAUUUUGGACAAUGGGCGCAAGCCUGAUCCAGCCAUGCCGCGUGCGGGAAGAAGGCCUUCGGGUUGUAAACCGCUUUUGUCAGGGAAGAAAUCCUUUGAGCUAAUACCUCGGGGGGAUGACGGUACCUGAAGAAUAAGCACCGGCUAACUACGUGCCAGCAGCCGCGGUAAUACGUAGGGUGCGAGCGUUAAUCGGAAUUACUGGGCGUAAAGCGUGCGCAGGCGGUCUUGCAAGACAGGUGUGAAAUCCCCGGGCUUAACCUGGGAACUGCACUUGUGACUGCAAGGCUGGAGUACGGCAGAGGGGGAUGGAAUUCCGCGUGUAGCAGUGAAAUGCGUAGAUAUGCGGAGGAACACCGAUGGCGAAGGCAAUCCCCUGGGCCUGUACUGACGCUCAUGCACGAAAGCGUGGGGAGCAAACAGGAUUAGAUACCCUGGUAGUCCACGCCCUAAACGAUGUCAACUGGUUGUUGGACGGCUUGCUGUUCAGUAACGAGCUAACGCGUGAAGUUGACCGCCUGGGGAGCGCGCGAGUAGAACGACANAGAGUGAGNGNGAGAGNGCGAGACGACGACGAGGGAGGAGG